rnacentral:lncRNA from 1 species
CAUUCUCACACAGGGCGCCGUGCCAAGCCUGAUCUCCCGUAGUCCUCACAGACCCUCCGCGGAACGAGAGAUCUGUUGUCCCAGGGUGAGGAAGCAAAGGCACAGAAGAGCUGAAGCGAUUUGCCCACAGUCACAAGGGCACUGGACUUUAAGGGCCAAGAGUGAAGACCAUUUUGUCCUGUUCUCUGGCACACAGUAGGCACUCGACAACUAUUUCAAAACUAAAGGAAUAAGCAAGUGGCCUCAUGGCUACUGAGGACAGAGUCUGGAACUGAAUGCAGGGCACUCUGAAGCUGGAGCUCACUUCUACAUUAUUGCCUUUCUCAUGCUACUAGCAGGCACUGAAUGUGUCAGUGAGUGAAUGAAUGAAACCAAGAUCUCAGGAUCCCAGUCAAGUGCUCCCUGAGUUUCAUUUCCUGGUAGUGUGGACAUGAGCCAAGCUCCAGCCA